rnacentral:lncRNA from 1 species
CUGCAUGUUUACAGUGGGGACUGUCCUGUGCACUGUAGGAUGUUUAGAACAUCCCUAUCCUCUAUCCACUGAGUGCCAGGAGCACCCCUUCCUUCAACUGUGAUGACCCAAAAUGUCUGUAGACAUUGCCAGAUGUCCCCUUGAUGGGGUGCUUAGUGAAUUUCUCAUUGCCAGUCCUGGAGUAUCACCCUUCCGUGGUGAAAGCCUGGCUCACUCAGCCCCCCACAAGAGUGAGGCAGUGCAUAAGCAGGGAAUUCUGCACCUAGAUGCAAUGGGUUUAAGUUUUCUUCCCCAGAUUUGUGGCAUCAGAGGAAGACAGCCACAGAAUUUUGGGCAAGGCACUCUAGAUUAUGGGGAUUUAGUUUCCUUAGCAGUAAAAGGAAGGAGUUAACUUAGACCUCUUUGUUUCUAGCACUCUAUUACUUUGACUCCCACUCACAGGGGGGAGUGUGGAAAAUGAGCUUGCUCCUACUCUCAUGAGAGAAAUCAACAGUUUUGAUAAUUGCUACAAAAGUAGUAACAAUCCUCCCAAAAUGACUUUAGACAAACAAGAGCAACAAAACCAAGAUUUAACAUUAUCAUUAUGAUUAACGAAAUUUAUGCAACCCAUAAGGCUAACUCUCAGGUGGAAAGAAAAUUCUAUUGAAAACUAACAACUCUGGUCUCAGUUCUUUUUAAAAUCGGAGUUAAAGAGCAUAAUUGGAUUGUUUGCAACUCACUUGAUAAAUGCUCGAGGAGGUAAAUACCUGGUUCUUCAUGAUGUGUGGAAUUAAAGGAAUACUUUAGGCAACUCACUUCACCAAUACUGGCCUCAGAUUGCUAAUCUUGUACAAACUGGGGGUGGUGAUUGGAAAAGGUGAUCACUAGGGCCACGUCUUGCUCUCAGACAUGAAUUCUACCUUCCACAGAUGCUUCUUUCCAAAGGAGGCUGUGCCUUUGAAAAUUCAAAUGUUCUUUAUUUAUGCCAUGCCUACUCAUGUUUCAGUCAUAUUUGAUGCAUGAAUUUUAAGACAGGCUAUAUAUUUACAAAGAAAAUAAAUUUGCCACUAAAUCCUUUUUGAAACAAGGUGGGUAUAAACAAACGGUUAGACACAAAGUUUUAUUUCAGGUAGACAUCAUAAAUUUGGAUGAUGGUCAUCCUUGACCCAGAUUUCUGGAUUUUGUUAAAAAUGUGGAAAAUACUUCUGCAAUUACAGUGGUUGGAUUUUGGUUUCCUGAGAAUGUAACAAGUUUUAUUCUCUAUGUCAAUAUCAUUUAUAGUGACUUUCUUGUAUGUCUUAGUAGCUGGCAAGGCAACCCCUUCACCCCCCAAGUCCUAAAACCUUUUAUCUUUGUUAUCUUUGGGCACUUACUUUUCCAUAUGAACUUCUUAUAAUCCCUUCCAUAUUCGUAUUUUUUCUUCCCUGUAUGCUCCCCCUGUUUAUGCUCCCCCUGUUUAUGCUCCCCCUGUUUAUGCUCCCCCUGUAUGCUCCCCCUGUUUAUGCUCCCCCUGUAUGCUCCCCCUGUUUAUGCUCCCACUGUUUAUGCUCCCCCUGUUUAUGCUCCCCCUGUAUGCUCCCCCUGUUUAUGCUCCCCCUGUAUGCUCCCCCUGUAUGCUCCCCCUGUUUAUGCUCCCCCUGUUUAUGCUCCCCCUGUUUAUGUUCCAUCACACCCAUGGAGACCUAUUUUAAUUCUUUCCAAAUAAUCACCUUUAAAAUUUAUAUUUUCUACUACUUUUUUCUUAUUUUUAUUAAUUUCAGCAAAUGUCUUUAUUGAUUCUCUCUACUUUUAAAAAAUUUUGGCUUUAUUUUCAUAGCCUUUUUUCUAAUUUCUUAAGAUCAAGUAGUUAGUACUGCUUUAGCUAUAUCUCUACAUAUAAAUAUAUCUAGAGAGCAAUUAUUGGAUUGCUUUCUACAUGUAUUUAAU